UACAACAUUUGUAUAAAAUAUUGUUCCUAAGAAUAUAUCCCUCGGCCUGACUGCACGCUACGGCACCUAAAAGUUUACUGACCCCAUUGUCCUUUUCUUGUGCGCUUCUUAGACGUGCAAUUAGCCCGUCCUCACUCUCAGUAACAAACAUAAUGCUCGAUAAGGGAUUUCUGCUUAACCCGUCAACAUGUUGCAUAUUUUUGCCUGGCCGAUGGCACAUUUGAUACUUAAAAUCACCCAGCAAUAAGGCCCAUCUGGCCACACGCAAACACAAAUCUUUCUUUUUCAUUGUCAUAGCAAAUGCUUUACAAUCAGUGACAAUGGUGAACGGUAUCCCUAACAAGUACUCUCUAAACUUAACUAAAGCUCGUAUUUUCGCUAGUACCUCCAACUCAUAACUUGUAUACUUCGCUUCUGCAGGUGUUGUCUUUCCACUAGCAUAAUAAACUGGAUGGAAUUUUAGGUCAUCUGGGUCUAAUUGCCUCAAAAUGGCGUCUAUGGACGCAUCUGUAUGCAAUUAAGUCUCUGCCUCUAAUCUGUAUAGUUUUAGUACGGGCCCAUCGGUAAGUACUGCUUUCAAAGUUUCGGAUGCUUCUGUCUCUUGUUCCCCAAAAUAAAACUUUAUAUCUUUUUUCAAGGGGUCUGUCAACGGCUUGGCUAUCUUCUCGUAACCCCUAAUAAAUUUUCUGAAAUACCCCGUAAGGCCCAAAAGCUUUGAAUCUUUAUGACCGACGUCAGCUUGGGCUAAAUUUUGAACGGCCUUAGUUUUAUGGUCUGACGACUUUAUCGUAUUUUUUGAAACUAUAUGACCUAGGUAUUUAGUCUCCUUCAACAUAAAACGACAUUUCUCCCAAUUCCUAAAUGACCCUUGUUCUGCAGCUAAUUUCAUAACCAUCAAUAAACGAUCCCAUGCUUCCUUCGAAUUCUUUGCUAGGAUAAAAAUAUCAUCCAUCUAAAGAAUAAGAAUACUAUUGUCAAUAAACUCUUUGAAAAAUGUAGUUAUAUAUUUUCGAAAGACUGUUGGCGAUAUUUUUUAACCAAAUGGUAAUUUCAUAAAUUCGUACCGUCCCGGCGGCGUAACAAAAGAGGUAUAUUUACGUCUUUCCUCAUCUAACGAAACGUAGAAAACUCCAUUAUUUAAAUAUAACUUUGCGAAAUACAUAGGUAUUGAAAAAUGCAGACAUUCAAUGGGUUCGUUAAGCUCAUGGAAGUCAACACAGAUUGUAACGUCUUUUUUCCUAACUCUAACUAUAGGACUCGCAUACAAUUUCCGCGGUUAUCCCUAUGUCUCGUGUCUUUUCCGGCUUGUAACCUUUGAUAAUAUCGCGGAUCGUUUCUCGAUAAUGCGGUUCUUCUAAGUGUGAUAAAUCUAUUCCAGCGGUCUGCUCUACUGUAUUUAGCCGAAAUAUAUUCGGCGUGAUUUUGCGACCGUUUGUCUGCCCUUCAAGUCGUAUAAACGGUUACCUCUCCCCGUUUGAAUCGCAACUCUACUUGAUCCAAGAAAUCAGUACCCAACAAUAGGCUAUGUUUUGACAAAACUUUGUUUGACACGGCAUUCAAGGUUACUGGAAAAUCGUGCCCAUCGACAUUCAUAAUUUUCUCGAAUUUACCCCAAGUUUCAUUGCCAGUGGAACCAACCCGUCUAAUUGAAGCCUACGACUACCUUAAGGUGGUGAUCUUACCCUAGCAUACUCAUCCGAUCUUAUAAAGGUUGUGUGCGUAGCCGUCUUGAAGUGCGAUGGAUGUGUGGAUAUGUGGAGAUUAUAGAGGCGUAAAUUCUAUAAUUCCUGCAAGGACUUGCACGAUCAUUGAUGCAGCACAAAGUCGUUGGAGUUGUAUGGAUAGGUGAAGACCACAAGGAAAGAGACACCGAAGAUUUGAUGCUACCACUUGUGAUGCUUCUUAACAACUGCUUUCUUGUUUGCAUUUGCUUCUAUUUAAUACAUUUUACCCUAAUACGUCAUGUACAUAGGUCCAAGUAGUGACGUACGUCUGCUAAUGAUUGAAACCUAAGUACAACCGAUUAGCAGACGCAAAUCUAUAUAUAUAUAUAUAAAACAAAGUCGUGUUAGUUACCAUGCUUAUAACUAAAGAACGACUAAUCCAAUUUAGCUAAAAAUUGGUGGAGAGGUAGCUUAGGGCCAGGAGAAGCUUCCCCACUCAACAUGCAGCGACCAAAACGAUCAAAUCUUAUCCGACAAAACCGUAAUGCAACUAGGAUUCGAAGGAUUGCGAAUGAAAGGACUGAAGAAGAACAAAAAAUUGCACGUGAAAAGCGCCGUGUUAGUAUGACUCGACUUCGUGCUUCUCAAUCACAAGAGCAAAGCGAGGCGGAACAAAGUUUGCCGGGUCAGCUAGUAAGAUAUAAGAAGAAUACGUCAUUUGGAA